UGGGGAAUAUUGGACAAUGGGCGCAAGCCUGAUCCAGCAAUGCCGCGUGAGUGAUGAAGGCCUUAGGGUUGUAAAGCUCUUUCGCACGCGACGAUGAUGACGGUAGCGUGAGAAGAAGCCCCGGCUAACUUCGUGCCAGCAGCCGCGGUAAUACGAAGGGGGCUAGCGUUGUUCGGAAUUACUGGGCGUAAAGGGCGCGUAGGCGGCCUGUUUAGUCAGAAGUGAAAGCCCCGGGCUCAACCUGGGAAUAGCUUUUGAUACUGGCAGGCUUGAGUUCCGGAGAGGAUGGUGGAAUUCCCAGUGUAGAGGUGAAAUUCGUAGAUAUUGGGAAGAACACCGGUGGCGAAGGCGGCCAUCUGGACGGACACUGACGCUGAGGCGCGAAAGCGUGGGGAGCAACAGGAUUAGAUACCCUGGUAGUCCACGCCGUAAACGAUGAAUGCUAGACGUCGGGGUGCAUGCACUUCGGUGUCGCCGCUAACGCAUUAAGCAUUCCGCCUGGGGAGUACGGCCGCAAGGUUAAAACUCAAAUGAAUUGACGGGGUC
rnacentral:rRNA from 1 species